AGACUGAACCUCCCGCAACUCAUCCACCUUCAAUUUCCCCUUUACUUUGACUGUAGGCUCAUCAAUAUCCAUAGCACAGGCGUUUCCCAUGCAAUCUUCUCGCAUAUUCUGUGUAGGAAAUGUUGCUACUAUUUCAAGAAGAUGAUCAAUAACCUGAGAAAUAUUUGCAGGGAUCUUUUUGAGGCCUUUCGUACACUUCCCUGAUCCAUCCUGGGCCUUAUGUUCAGAAAUCCGUUGACACUCAUUAGAAGCUCCAAAAUCAACAGAUGUUUUACCUUUCUCUCUCUCCUUGUCUUUCUCUUUUGAUAAGACUAUGAUAGAUCUCCCUCCAGAUGAUUCCAACUGGCAAACUGCAGCUGCAGCUUUCACAAAUACUCCAGGGUCUCGACAUAUUACAGGUGCCAUUGAUGUUAAAAAUGUUUUAACAGAAGUACGGCCAGCAUGACAACUUCCACAAAUCCAUCAGGUGCCAUUGAUGUUAAAAAUGUUUUAACAGAAGUACGACCAGCAUGACGGCUUCCACUAAGAGUCUGCCGUAUCUCCAUCUCCAUGGCUGUUUGCAGGGUCUGAGGAUCUUCAAGAAGAUGUCUAACAAUGGCAGAUGCC
rnacentral:lncRNA from 1 species